rnacentral:rRNA from 1 species
UGAGCAAUCUGCCCUUCACAUCGGAAUAACCAUUGGAAACGAUGGCUAAUACCGAAUAUGACUUCGGAUCGCAUGAUCUGAAGUGGAAAGCUCCGGCGGUGAAGGAUGAGCUCGCGGCCUAUCAGCUAGUUGGUGUGGGUAAUGGCCCACCAAGGCGACGACGGGUAGCCGGCCUGAGAGGGUGACCCGGCCACACUGGGACUGAGACACGGCCCAGAUCCCGUAACGGGG